GGCCCCGUGGUCAAGCGGAAAGGCCCCGCACUGCAAAUGCGGGCGACGCGGGUUCGAGUCCCGCCGGGGCCUCCU
rnacentral:tRNA from 1 species